rnacentral:rRNA from 1 species
UGGGGAAUUUUGGACAAUGGGCGAAAGCCUGAUCCAGCAAUGCCGCGUGUGUGAAGAAGGCCUUCGGGUUGUAAAGCACUUUUGUCCGGAAAGAAAUCCUUGGCUCUAAUACAGUCGGGGGAUGACGGUACCGGAAGAAUAAGCACCGGCUAACUACGUGCCAGCAGCCGCGGUAAUACGUAGGGUGCAAGCGUUAAUCGGAAUUACUGGGCGUAAAGCGUGCGCAGGCGGUUUGCCAAGACCGAUGUGAAAUCCCCGGGCUCAACCUGGGAACUGCAUUGGUGACUGGCAGGCUAGAGUAUGGCAGAGGGGGGUAGAAUUCCACGUGUAGCAGUGAAAUGCGUAGAGAUGUGGAGGAAUACCGAUGGCGAAGGCAGCCCCCUGGGCCAAUACUGACGCUCAUGCACGAAAGCGUGGGGAGCAAACAGGAUUAGAUACCCUGGUAGUCCACGCCCUAAACGAUGUCAACUAGUUGUUGGGGAUUCAUUUCCUUAGUAACGUAGCUAACGCGUGAAGUUGACCGCCUGGGGAGUACGGUCGCAAGAUUAAAACUCAAAUGAAUUGACGGGGUCAUAGCUGUUU